AAAAGAGUAGUAUUCGACUUGUUUUGUUUAACUGAGAGGCAGAGUGUAACCAAGAUUCUCCGACAUCAAGCAACUUUUGCAUCCAACUCUGUCACGGAUUCUAUAUACUGGAUGGAAAAUCGGGCCUCUGAUUAAAAGCGGGAACAUAAUUUUCUAUGUUCUGGAAUCUGCGGUCUUUUUGAUUAAUAGUUGAGUCUCAGGUGUUCGACGAAAUGUCAAACCGAGUUUGCAUAAAAAGAGGGUUGUUGACACUAAUGGGUGUGAAGUUUAUGGGCAGACUGGAACACCCAACUCGUUUUUCCAUGUGUGUUCGAUCCAAAACAACGUCUGCUCAGUAUGUAGCAUCGAGAUUUCGAGACCCCACGUUUGAGAAACUCAUGGACAACUACAAGAACCUUGUUAAGGUCAUUUCCAUUCAAGACCUCAUCCUUGCAAACCCAAAGAACCCAUCAGUCUCCAUUGAUUUCCUCUCCAAGCUCUCCCAGAAGCUCCACUUAAACCGCGGGGCCACUGCCUUCCUCUGCAAGUUUCCUCACAUCUUCCACAUUUACUAUGAUCAUUCCAAGUUGAAGCCCUUUUGCAGGUUAACUGACGCUGCUCUUGGUGUUACACGGCAGGAAGCGGUGGCCAUCAAUGCUUCUUUGCCUGUUGUUGUUGAAAGACUUGUCCGGAUACUCUCCAUGUCAGCAUCCAGAAUGGUGCCUCUUAGAGCUGUUUUUAAGGUUUGGAAGGAGCUUGGGCUGCCUGAUGAUUUCGAGGACUCUGUUAUAUCUGCUAAUUCUGGUGUUUUUCAGCUGUGUGAUGGGCAUGAACAGAAUACUCAUUUGUUGAAGCUGGUUGAUGGUGUUUCCAGCAAUGGCAUUAGGGCGGCUGUUGAGGAUUGGAGGGUUGUUGAGUGCUGCAAGGAAGACUGCAGUGUUGAUAGGAUGGAAAUGCAGUUUAGUUUCAAACACGGGUAUCCUCCGGGGAUGAGGUUGAGCAAGAAUUUCAAGGCCAAGGUGAAGGAGUGGCAGAGGUUGCCUUAUGUGGGGCCUUAUGAAGUGCCAGGUGAGAAGAAGAAGUCUAAGGCUGGAAUGAUGGCUAUGGAGAAGCGAGCAGUAUCGAUUGUUCACGAGUUCCUGAGUUUGACAGUAGAGAAGAUGGUGGAAGUUGAGAAGAUCAGCCAGUUUAGGAAAUGGUUUGGGAUUGAUUUAAAUAUAAGGGAUCUCUUCUUGGACCACCCAGGGAUCUUCUAUUUGUCAACUAAGGGUAAAAAACAUACUGUUUUCCUGAGGGAAGCUUAUGAACGAGGGUGUUUGAUAGAACCAAAUCCUGUCUAUGAUGCAAGAAGACGGCUACUUGAUCUUGUUGUUCUAGAACGUCGGGGUCUGCCAGCUGUUAAUUCGAAGUUGGAGGAUUCAAGCAGCUGCGGUGAGGCUAGACAAGAGGAAAACCAGCAAAGACAUUAUUUGUCACCAUCUUGAUUAAGCUGUCCAUGCAAGAUUAGCAUUUUGUAAACAGGGAACUAGCUUACGAGAUUACAAAACAUUAAUUUCUGUUCCCACUUUGAGGAUGAACAGGGCCAAUGGUGAAUUCAUUAAAUUAUUUGGUUUCAAUGGUGCCUACAUAGUUUAGGCCCCGAGGAUAGUGGUAGCUGGUUGGAAUGAUUGACUUUUGAUAUUGGCUCAUUUCUAUUUGUGCUCAUCUCUGUGGCUGAAGGUUCAUAUUCUCAUUGAGAUCAAGCGCCUUGGAAACUUUUGGAGAAACAAGCAUCUAAGGAAGAACACGCAAUACCGCUACCAUUCUGGCCCAAUACAGUUCGUUCAUUUAUGUUCUGCUGAUAUAAUUCUUCAAAGUUGAGUUUGUGUAGUUUUUGCAUGUUUGGUGUUAGUAACUUCUUUUAAAUCAAAGUAGCUUUUGGAAUCGGAGAUUAUAGAAUAAUCGAUCUUCCUUCAAGUGAGUUUAAGUCAGAAGUCAGAACUUGUUUUCUAAGUCCCAUUUUUUAAUGAAAGAACAGUCCAAUUUAAGUCGAUGGAAGCUGAAUAAAUAUUGCUGAAAAAGGCUCACCGGGAUGCCUGGCGCAUCUUGAAAUUACAUGCUGCAGUAACCAAUUUAAAUUAGCACAGUUUAAAGACAUCC